rnacentral:misc_RNA from 1 species
GUUAUGAUUGUUUUCAAUUGUAAUUUUGAUGGAUCGAUCACGUACCUCUAGAAACUGUUUGACGGUCGUGUCCACAACCAUGAGUGGUCGCUGGAUAAGAUGAACGACUCCAUUACGUACGGGUAUGUUUGCUUUGACGAUUUCAGCGAGAACGACACCCUUCGCAUGCGUGUUGUCACCAGCCAAUGUGUUCGAUUUGACGUAAGCUGCAAUUCUAGCUUUGCCGUCCUGUUCGGUUAAAAAGCUGACGGUGACUUUGAUGUUGUCUGUGAAUGCCAGGGUUUUGUAAGGUUUGUCGUUCGGAGUUGGUGCGGUGAAGAGUACGUGGCCAGAAAUCACGUGACCGUCGAUGACUUUCUGAUCGAUUUUUCCUGAGCGAGUUUCGGGC